rnacentral:rRNA from 1 species
UGGGGAAUAUUGCGCAAUGGGGGGAACCCUGACGCAGCCAUGCCGCGUGAAUGAAGAAGGCCUUCGGGUUGUAAAGUUCUUUCGGUAUUGAGGAAGGUUGAUGUGUUAAUAGCACAUCAAAUUGACGUUAAAUACAGAAGAAGCACCGGCUAACUCCGUGCCAGCAGCCGCGGUAAUACGGAGGGUGCGAGCGUUAAUCGGAAUAACUGGGCGUAAAGGGCACGCAGGCGGUUAUUUAAGUGAGGUGUGAAAGCCCCGGGCUUAACCUGGGAAUUGCAUUUCAGACUGGGUAACUAGAGUACUUUAGGGAGGGGUAGAAUUCCACGUGUAGCGGUGAAAUGCGUAGAGAUGUGGAGGAAUACCGAAGGCGAAGGCAGCCCCUUGGGAAUGUACUGACGCUCAUGUGCGAAAGCGUGGGGAGCAAACAGGAUUAGAUACCCUGGUAGUCCACGCUGUAAACGCUGUCGAUUUGGGGGUUGGGGUUUAACUCUGGCGCCCGUAGCUAACGUGAUAAAUCGACCGCCUGGGGAGUACGGCCGCAAGGUU